rnacentral:rRNA from 1 species
GGGACACGUGGUAUCCUGUCUGAAUAUGGGGGGACCAUCCUCCAAGGCUAAAUACUCCUGACUGACCGAUAGUGAACCAGUACCGUGAGGGAAAGGCGAAAAGAACCCCGGCGAGGGGAGUGAAAAAGAACCUGAAACCGUGUACGUACAAGCAGUGGGAGCACGCUUAGGCGUGUGACUGCGUACCUUUUGUAUAAUGGGUCAGCGACUUAUAUUCUGUAGCAAGGUUAACCGAAUAGGGGAGCCGAAGGGAAACCGAGUCUUAACUGGGCGUUAAGUUGCAGGGUAUAGACCCGAAACCCGGUGAUCUAGCCAUGGGCAGGUUGAAGGUUGGGUAACACUAACUGGAGGACCGAACCGACUAAUGUUGAAAAAUUAGCGGAUGACUUGUGGCUGGGGGUGAAAGGCCAAUCAAACCGGGAGAUAGCUGGUUCUCCCCGAAAGCUAUUUAGGUAGCGCCUCGUGAAUUCAUCUCCGGGGGUAGAGCACUGUUUCGGCAAGGGGGUCAUCCCGACUUACCAACCCGAUGCAAACUGCGAAUACCGGAGAAUGUUAUCACGGGAGACACACGGCGGGUGCUAACGUCCGUCGUGAAGAGGGAAACAACCCAGACCGCCAGCUAAGGUCCCAAAGUCAUGGUUAAGUGGGAAACGAUGUGGGAAGGCCCAGACAGCCAGGAUGUUGGCUUAGAAGCAGCCAUCAUUUAAAGAAAGCGUAAUAGCUCACUGGUCGAGUCGGCCUGCGCGGAAGAUGUAACGGGGCUAAACCAUGCACCGAAGCUGCGGCAGCGACACUAUGUGUUGUUGGGUAGGGGAGCGUUCUGUAAGCCUGUGAAGGUGUGCUGUGAGGCAUGCUGGAGGUAUCAGAAGUGCGAAUGCUGACAUAAGUAACGAUAAAGCGGGUGAAAA